AGCCCACUCUUUGGGAGGGGCAUAGACAGUUUGACCACCCACCCAGUACAUUAACUUUUCUUCAAUGCCCCUUUUGAUGAAAUGUAAAUGAAACAGCGGAAUAUAACAUCAUAUUAUCUUUGAUUCAAUGCAAUUUAGAUUUAAAGAUACAUCAACUCAUGUUGAACCACUAAUCUAUAAAACUGUUGAACUUUUCUUAACCUCACAGGUGAUGGACAAGCAAAGCUCAUUUUGGCUUAUAAUGUAAUAGUCCCACUGAUCGUAACUGUGUUUUAUUCUGCUAUUAAUGUCUUGUGUGAUUUACACGCUAUUUGCAGAUGCUGUUUGACUGCACACGAGUUCACAGAAACUCAGGUAGCCAAGAAACACCUGGCUCUCUGCUACAUCUGCUUUCAGUGCUGUGUCCAGUACAAAGAGGUACAGAUUACAAGAGAUCUGAUUAAAGGAGCAGAUUAAAGGGAGAUAAAGUGCAGGAAGUGGUGCGGCUGGCUGUGUGUUCGGUCAGCUGUCAGUACAGCCUGUGGUAUUGCACUUCCUUCAUGUUGGUGAUCACAUUAAAGAGGCUGGUUUUUCACGACGCGCAGAGGCUUUUUUACUUCAACACUACGAAAGAAAAGUGCGAAAGAAUUUACUCGGCUAAGCAAAUAUCAGGAGUCGCUGGCUUGGAUUUAGGCUCGUUUUAUGAGCAAGAAGAGAAGAGAGGAGCAGUAAACUUGACUCAGGUAGGGUUGAAAGGCAUUGCAUCUUAAAAACCACAACAGCCCUUGACUAUUUAUCCAUAAUGUUGUUUAUUAUAACCGGAUAAACUUCAAAUAGUAACCAAUUUCACUCUUCCACAUAGAAUUAGUAAGCAAAGCAUAGUUAUUAUGGUUAGCUUACAUGCUAAACCAAAAGAAAACAAUUAAACAUCACGUAAGUUCUUUAGUUUAUUGCAUAAAGAGGUUGAAACAACUAGAUAUGCCACAUUUUGGUAACUUUUUCUACUUUAAAAAAAAAAAAAAGACUGUAAAGAGCCACCUGAAUGCUAAAUGCACAUAAAGCUAGGCUAGCUGAGUAUGCGUAGUGUGCAGUUAUUACAGAUGUAAUGCAUUCAUGUACGCGGACACGUCAUUUGAUAAAGAGGAAGAUUCAUCUUAGAAAUAAACAUGCAUGUUCAGUUUGAGCUGUCAGUAACCACCAGCAUGUUAUAACCAGUUUUCAAAUAUGUAACUGACUUGAUUUAAGAUAUACUCUUUAAGUUGCCCAGCAUAACAUAUAGAUACUAAUAAGUUCAAAAGCAUACUUGGCAUGUUAGAGAUGUUUAUGCUUGUAAAAAGCCAGUAUAGUCCCCACGAGAGCUAUUUUGCUUCAUCUAACAGGUCCUUCCUCAUUAACCUGCCUUUGUAUGUGUGUAUGUGUGUGU
rnacentral:lncRNA from 1 species